rnacentral:rRNA from 1 species
AGAGUUUGAUCCUGGCUCAGGACGAACGCUGGCGGCGUGCCUAAUACAUGCAAGUCGAGCGAUUCUUUAGGAGCUUGCUCCUUUUGGUUAGCGGCGGACGGGUGAGUAACACGUGGGCAACCUGCCUGUAAGACUGGGAUAACACCGGGAAACCGGUGCUAAUACCGGAUUAAUCCUUUUCCUCACAUGGGGGAAAGCUGAAAGACGGUUUCGGCUGUCACUUACAGAUGGGCCCGCGGCGCAUUAGCUAGUUGGUGAGGUAACGGCUCACCAAGGCGACGAUGCGUAGCCGACCUGAGAGGGUGAUCGGCCACACUGGGACUGAGACCACGGCCCAGACUCCUACGGGAGGCAGCAGUAGGGAAUCUUCCGCAAUGGACGAAAGUCUGACGGAGCAACGCCGCGUGAGCGAUGAAGGCCUUCGGGUCGUAAAGCUCUGUUGUUAGGGAAGAACAAGUAUCGGAGUAACUGCCGGUACCUUGACGGUACCUAACCAGAAAGCCACGGCUAACUACGUGCCAGCAGCCGCGGUAAUACGUAGGUGGCAAGCGUUGUCCGGAAUUAUUGGGCGUAAAGCGCGCGCAGGCGGUCCUUUAAGUCUGAUGUGAAAGCCCACGGCUCAACCGUGGAGGGUCAUUGGAAACUGGGGGACUUGAGUGCAGAAGAGGAAAGUGGAAUUCCACGUGUAGCGGUGAAAUGCGUAGAGAUGUGGAGGAACACCAGUGGCGAAGGCGACUUUCUGGUCUGUAACUGACGCUGAGGCGCGAAAGCGUGGGGAGCAAACAGGAUUAGAUACCCUGGUAGUCCACGCCGUAAACGAUGAGUGCUAAGUGUUAGAGGGUUUCCGCCCUUUAGUGCUGCAGCUAACGCAUUAAGCACUCCGCCUGGGGAGUACGGCCGCAAGGCUGAAACUUAAAGGAAUUGACGG